rnacentral:rRNA from 1 species
UACAGAGGGGGCAAGCGUUAUUCGGAAUUAUUGGGCGUAAAGGGCGCGUAGGCGGCCUGGCAAGUGGAUGGUGAAAUCCCUCGGCUUAACCGAGGAACUGCCGUCCAAACUGCUUCGCUUGAGACCGGGAGAGGUGAGUGGAAUUCCCAGUGUAGCGGUGAAAUGCGUAGAUAUUGGGAGGAACACCAGUGGCGAAGGCGGCUCACUGGACCGGUACUGACGCUGAUGCGCGAAAGCGUGGGGAGCAAACGGG